GAGACGAGAAGAAGAGUCAAAUUCCUCUAACACAGUGAUGGGUGAACGUGUUACUUUGAGUCUCAGUGAUGUGGAACAUUAUGGCUGAAUAAUGCACCCCGUGACUCACUCUCAACCAAUCAGAGCGCUGGAUUUCAUCUACCACGGUUAUAAUUCAUUUUUUAUUACUCCAUAUCAUAUAUUAAUUACAUUUAUAUUUUCUCUGUUUUUUAACAGUAUUAGUUAUAGUAAUAGUAAUAGUUAUUUUAUUUUUGUCUCAAGCCUUUAUAUUAACUGUUCAUGAAUUGUUAGGUAGUGUUUGUGCAGGUUUAAAUAAGAUAAUAAAUAAAUGUCCUUGUGAUGAUCCUGCUAUCAGGUUUCUGCUUGUUAAACUUUUAUUUUAUUAUUUUAUUUAGUCAUUGAAUACAAAUCCAACCUUGAAUGAAUCAAUUAGUUAAUCCAAGACAGGGUUCUUAUUUGAGCCACUUUGCACUUAAAAAGUUGGGCCCAGAGGUCAAAAAGGUUAAGAACCGCUGGUUUAAUUCCUUACUUUAAAGAAUACACACAGACAGCUUCCUUCAAUAGAAACUACGAUGAUCUGUUUAUUUACUGUAAAGAUCAGUGUCAUCAUCUCCAUGAACGCUGUCACAUUUCAUGUAAUGAAAUAUGUCAAAAGGGUUUUUAUGUUUCCACAUGUUUGCGUUUUCUAAAUGUGUCUACAGCUCAGCUGGGGGUGAAUGUCCCGUGACCUUUGACCUCCCACCUCUAGUGCUCUCAGUAAGUUUAAUAAAAGCUGCGUUAAGCCCACAUUCCCUCAGAAACACGCGCACGCGCACUUGGCCCGGGGGCCGCAGCACCAAACUCCAUUCGAAAAUACCCGAAACAUAGAACCACGGAGGCUUGUUUGCAGACUCCUCUCGGAGCAGCGGGAGGUGGCGACGCUCUGACGGAUCGUUCGGAGACCGCCCGGAGAACCACGGAGCACCGGAAGUCUGCGGGGACGGAGGAGUCCGGACCGUGUGGACUUCAGGAGCUUCGUUUGGACCCCGAUAAACGAACCUUAAAACACGCAUUCAUCCACUCACCACUUCCACAGAUCCCUCCGCGGCUCCGCACUAGAAACAGCAACAUCCACACGGACGGCUUCAUGUUCUCAUUACACUCGCGGACCGGGUUCGCUCGGCUCGGCUCGGCUCGGCUCGGGUCUCCCUCUCCGUCCCCCGGGAGAAGAGGGGGUUGGUCGGCGGUAGUUUGGAGGAUGAGACGCUGAACUCAUGGACGAAAACAAACUGAACUUUGGGAAAAAGUUCAGUUUGUUCUUCGGCAAAAGGACGAAAGCGCAGAAAGUUCGUGUUGUCAAAAGCGAACGCGCUCCUAGCGGGGAGCGUGACGUCAAGCUACGUGCGUGAGGUCACACACCGGAAACGACGCCUUCAAAAUAAAUCCGUUUAAAUUUGAACGGAUUUCUGAUUUUCUGCACUUUGUAUUUCAUUUGUUUCAUAAUUUACAUUUUAAUUGUAAUACUAGUGAUGGAUUUGGAUGUACAACACAUUUUAAUAUUAGUACAUAUUUAAAUUAAUUUACAUGUCUUUAACACAUUAAGAUGUUUAUAUUAGUAUUUUUAUUAACCACAAAGUUAAACGUGAAUUACUGACGUCACCGGAAGUGCUUAGACAUUCAGUCCAGUUUGACGCGGGUUGUUGAUCUCUCCCUCGGGAAAAUGUUGCGUGUUGCGUGCGUGUGAGCGCGUGAGAGAGGGUUCACUGCGCAUGACCACUAGCUGGUGGUGUGACGUCACAGCGUACAGAGUUUAUACACACAUUACACACACAUAUAAUCAAAGACAUCAGAAGAUUUGGAUUCAUUAGCACGUUUUUAUUUCAAUAAAUCAAAUAUGAAAUAAUGUUAUAAUAUAAUGUUAUUGAUUUCAUAAUUUUUAUUGA